rnacentral:rRNA from 1 species
UACGUAGGGUGCGAGCGUUGUCCGGAAUUAUUGGGCGUAAAGGGCUCGUAGGCGGUUUGUCGCGUCGGGAGUGAAAACCCAGGGCUUAACCCUGGGCUGGCUUUCGAUACGGGCAGACUAGAGGUAUGCAGGGGAGAACGGAAUUCCUGGUGUAGCGGUGAAAUGCGCAGAUAUCAGGAGGAACACCGGUGGCGAAGGCGGUUCUCUGGGCAUUACCUGACGCUGAGGUGCGAAAGCGUGGGGAGCGAACAGG